AUGGGUAUGCUGAAAUAAGGUAACCAGGUUCCGCUUAGGCCGGGAUAGUCUAACUUUACAAGUUCAAGUCUUGUUACCCAUA
rnacentral:tRNA from 1 species